rnacentral:lncRNA from 1 species
UCAAUGAAGUUGCUGGCAGCCAAGGAACUUUCUUUGGCAGAAACAUGCUUCCUGUUGAUCAGAAGAAAAAGGUCAACAAUCAUAGCUAGUUAUAAUAAUUUCAUAAAAUAUCAGUGUUUUUACUGCUAUAGUUUGUUGACUUGUUCUUAUAUGAUUUUGAUCCUUUGAGGAUAGUGAAUUUUGAAGGCAUAGUUUUGUGUGUGUGCAGCUAUUGAAGCCUGAUCCAAUGGUGGUAGCAACAAAACUACUAGCUAGAAGGACAUAUAAGGACACAGGGAAGCAAUUCAACGUGAUUGCAGCUUCUUGGAUUCAGUUCAUGAUUCACGAUUGGAUCGAUCAUCUUGAGGAUACCAAACAGGUCAAUCAAUUUCUAAAACCAUGAUGAUGUUUUUUAUUGUGAUAAUAAGAAGGUAUUUAAUUUAAUUUGUUCAUGAAAUUUUGAUACAUAUUUACAUACAUAUAUAUGCAGAUUGAACUGACUGCACCAAAAGAAGUUGCAGGCCAAUGCCCUCUAAAAUCUUUCAAAUUCUUCAAAACUAAGGAAAUUCCCACUGGAUUCUAUGAGAUAAAAACGGGAUCAUCGAACAUUCGAACACCAUGGUGGUAAGAUUUCUACUGCAGUUUACCUCAGCCAAAAGUUAAAGGUUAAUGUUGAUAAGUUUAUUAUUCCUACUUCUUAUACUGAGUUUAUGACUAACAUAAUUUCAGAAAAAACAGUUUUUAAACGAGGAGCAUAUCUCACUUAUAUAUUAUAAAAGUUUUCGAUAUGUACUAAGUAAUGAUACUGACAGAAAAUUAUAAUUUGAAAAAGGAAAGAAAAGAUAACUUAGAUGAAAAAAAUGGCGGCGUAUAUGCAUGUAGAAAAUUCAAUGCGUGGGGGCACGAUAGCGUUUACAUCUAACAAAAUGGCGGCGAAAGAUAUAAGAUAUGUGAUUUGGUUUGAUUUAGGUUGACCUACCUACAUAUUUUUGGCAAUGGGACAUUAUUUUACUAUUUUUGACCGAAGUGUUGCCAAGAUCGGAGUGAAUCUUAACGAGAAUCAAUAAUCUUUCUAAAAUUUUUAAAAAUAAAAAUUCAUGAAAAUUAAAUUAGGUAAAUUUUUAUUUCUUUUAUAAAUUAUGUAAUAAUAAAAUAUAAAAUCAAAUAUAAUAAAUAAUAAAAUUAUUAAGAUUUUUUUUUUUUUAAUUUUCUCUUACCUUUACCUGUUGGUGUUCAUUUCCCACCCUCUCAUGCUUACUUUUUAUCAUAAAGGAAAAAAAAACAGGUUAAAAUUCAUUAUUCUAAAUUAUGGAUUUUUGUUAUGUUUGUAAUAUUCAUCAAAUAUAUAAAUUUUCGUAUAUACCUAAGAAAAACUCGUCGAGUUAAGUCAGAACAAAAUAUAUUUUGAAAUAAAAGAAUGAGUAUAAGAGUGAGUAUGAUUUUUUUUUUUUAAAUAUCAUAUCUUUAUAAAAUUAUUUGAACUUUAGGAUUCAUGUCAUAAAAAUAUAAUGAUAUAAUAAAUUAUAUACCAACAAAAUAAAAACUUAUCUUAAAUAAAUAAUAUUAAUAAUAAUAAUAUGAGAUCUUAUCAAUAAUAAUAUUCAAAUCUACUAGAUUUGUCAUGAUUAUAAGAAAUAUUAGUUUUAGUAAAAGUAAUAUCACACUCAUAUUUAUUUGACACAUUUAAUUUGAGUAAAUUGAUCUUAAAAAAGUGAAUUUUUGUAAUUUAAAAAAAAAUAAAAAUAAAAGGUAAGAAAAAGUAGUAUGAAAUGAAUGUAAAAAAAUUAUGUAGGUUAAAGUAUAUUGGACUAAUGUAAAAGUUAAAAGUAGCUGAUAUGAAAGUUAUUGGUAUAUAGUCUCUGAGAGAAGAUGUUUAAGUUGCAUGGAUUUGGUUGGUGAAAUAGGGAUGCAAGUGCUGUGUAUGGAAGCAAUGGAGAAGUUUUACAGAAAGUGAGGACUUUCAAAGAUGGAAAGCUAAAUAUAUCAAAGGAUGGAAACCUUCUGCAUAACGAAAAUGGAACAGCAGUUGCAGGUGACAUCCGCAACAGUUGGGCUGGUGUUUCAACUCUGCAAUCCCUUUUCAUUCAAGAACACAAUGCAGUUUGUGAUUCUCUCAAGGUAUAAUAUUCAUAAAUUAUAUCAUGGAAAAAACAGUAACCAAUCUUAUUUUAAAAACAAACUCAUCAAUUAAAAGAAAAUACUAACAAAAUACCUGUUUUUAAUUGUACUGUUUCAGAAAUAUUACCCUCAUUUGAAUGAUGAAGAACUUUAUCGCCAUGCAAGAUUGGUGAUUUCAGCUGUGAUUGCAA